UUCCCCUUUUCCUUGGCUUGGACUCAUGCUUGUCUCUGCAUCAUGAGCCCAAGCCAAGGCAAAGGGGAA